rnacentral:lncRNA from 1 species
UCCUCCUUAGGUCCGGAUCCCGAACAUUGAAAAAGUUAGAAUUUUCCAGUUUAUAUCUUUAUAACCAAUUCUAAGUCUUCUAAACACUUUUUCUCAAGUAUAAUUUCACCACAAAUUAUUAACCUACAUCCUUGAGUAAACGAGCAUCACGAACGAGUCUUUAUCUCCCAAAUCUUGUAAUCUUGGCUUCAAUUCUUCAUCUUCAACUAUUGAAGACUCCAAUCGACUUCACGAAAUCAUGCACAAAAUUAUAAUUUACUCAUCCUUGACAAACUCUAUGACUUAGACAAGAUGAGGAGUCUUGAAGUCUUGAAAAUCAUGCACAAAACUUCUCCACAAUACACACUCAAGAUAUGCAACGAAUAACAUGAUAGUCAGAAUUUUAGUUGCAGUCAUCAAAAACAGAAGUCUAGCAAGAUAGGCAAGUUAUCCAGAUAUCAGCAUAUCAAGUAAUCAAAGUAUUAUAUUUAACCUAAACUUGCAAUAGACAACUAAACACUAUCGGAAGUUCAAAUAGUUAAAGUCACAGAUCAAGUAAUCACAAACAUCAACUAACCUAAAUAUCAACUAAACAUGUAAGCAUGUGAUGUAAGCCCGAAAAAAAAAAAAACAUCGUAAUGUAAGUAUCAACAUGUAAACAUCAACAUGUAAACAGCCAAGGACACCUAAUCCGAAUCUGCAUCCUGAGGAGGUAAAUCAGCACUACAACAUCCCAUUUUGUCAAAUAUAACCUUCAUGACCCUAGAAAUCUUGCUCAUUUUUCUUGAAAGCUUUGCUUGUUCAGAAACAAUGCGUUGAAGCUCGCUUGAAAUUCGUUCUUGUUCAUUCGAGAGUCGUUGUUGCUCACGAUACACAGAGGAAACUGAUACAUCCUCUUCAGAUACCUCCUGAGAAGGCUGCGAAGGUCCAGGAGCAGCAGGAGCCGAAAUAGAGUGCUGCUGAAUAGAACGACGUGGGGGAGAAUGACGAGAAGGUGACUGAAGCUGAACAGCAGACUUUAUAAAAGUAGUCUCACUGAUAACCCCGAGACUAAAUUCAUAAGAGCUGCAUCGAGUGUCCACACCAACAGCACGAAGGAUUCGCAUAAUGAUCAAGGGAUAUGGAAGACGUUCAUUAUGAUUGGAUGAUUUCAUAUCCUUUGUCAUCCGACGCCAAAUCAGAAAAGGAAUGUUCAAGUUAAUACCUCGUGAUCGUACCUCGUCGGGUCGUCCAAGUAAAUACAUGUACAACAGCCUGUCCCAACGUACGACCUUCGUGUUCAUUGUCGGCAAGAUAUUAUAGUCCACAACAAAGUUGAGAAAACGAUACUCCAAUUUCAAUUCUUUUGACAAUACUGAAUUCCCUGUUGACUGAGUAUUAGGCACACAAACGCCAUUCACAAUACGUCGCCAGUCACGAAUUGAGUCAAUACCAGCAUGCAAAUAAUCAACUCCAUCAGUACAAACUUGCAUGUCAAGAACCGAACCUACCAAAUCCGGCGUAAUAUCCAAGGAGAUGCCACGGACAGAAGUCUUGAAACAAUAUGGUCCACCAUCAGUAUCAUGGAGAUGUCCAGCACACAUAUAAAACUCUCGAAUCAGUUCAAGACAAUAACCCGUCUGCUCAGGAAACGAACAAAUAGACACAAGAUCACCAUUCAUAUAAAGGGAUUCAAACACGGGUGCUUUUUUAAUUAGCUGAGGAACACCCACAUGUCGCUCGCCAAUACAUACUUUGGAAGAGAACAUCGCCUGACGUUUAGAAUCAACUGGAGGCUCACGACUCUCAUCACCAUCGGUCUUCUUCUUACCGCGGGUCGAUUUCAAUUUUCCUUUCCUAUUCCUUUUCUUUUCUCUUUUCCUUUUCCUUUUUCGUUUCCUUUUCCUUUUCCUUUUCCUUUCUCUUUCUCCGGAGCCGCCAGCUCUUUUCCUUUUUUCUUCGACAACACCUCAGGAGCCAUCGCUUCCCAGUCGGUCGAUUCUGUUUCCGACUCCUCUUCGGGAGCAUACUCACUGCCCACAUCUUCCACAAGUUGCUCGGCUGGUUGCUGAGCCGAGGAACGGCGGCGUUUUUCCCCACGCCCACCACCAGCCAUCAUGAACACAAGUACCAAGAAAAGAUACUACAAUGUGACCAAAAAAAAAAAAUUUCCUGUUUAUAACCAAAUUUGUAACAAAAUUGACAUAUAAAUAUCACUUUCUAAGAAAAAAAAAAAUUUAUAAAACACUUUUAAAAAAAAUUUAUAGAAAUAAUCCAGGGCCAUAUAGAACUUUAGCAGAAAAUAUGCCAUCACAAAAAAAAACAAUGUCAAAUACUGUCAAUAGAAAAUACAAUAUUCUGUCAUUAUCAAUAAAAUUGACAUGAAGCUCUUUAUGUUUACAAAUGAAACAGAUUUGGGGUUAUAUACUAUCCAAAUUAUGCAAAAACACAAUAUGAUAUUCUCCAGCAAGUCUAGAUCAAAAACCAACGAAAGAAAGAAACGAUCUAACAAGUUAUAUGAAUCAAUUACAAAAAUAUGCACAAUUUCGGAAUAUUGACCAAGAAACAAAGCAAAUCUGAAAACCUUACCGAAAAUGAGAUGAAAACCAAGAGAAAACUUAAGCAAAUUCACCGUCGAGGUUUCAAGGGUUCGUGAGAGAUGUUUUGAUAAAAGAUUGGGAAAGUAUGAGAGAGAAUGGACCAAAGAGAUUAUAUGAAGUCGGGCGGAGGGUCCGAACCUUCCAGCAAGGGUCCGGAUCGUGAAGCCCAGGUCCGGUCCGGACCCUCCCUGCGUAUCAUGCAGAGAGGACCUACGGGGUCCGGAUCCUGAAGCACAAGUCCGGACCCUCUCUGUGUAUCAUGCAGAGAGGGCCUACGGGGUCCGGAUCGUAAAGCACAGGUCCGGACCCUCUCUGCGUAUCAUGCAUAGAGGACCUACGGGGUCGGGAUCCUGAAGCUCGGGUCCGGACCCUCUCUGUGUAUCAUGCAGAGAGGGUCUACGGGGUCCGGAUCGUGAAGCACCGGUCCGGACCCUCUCUGCGUAUCAUGCAGAGAGGACCUACGGGGUCGGGAUCCUGAAGCUCGGGUCCGGACCCUCUCUGUGUAUCAUGCAGAGAGGGUCUACGGGGUCCGGAUCGUGAAGCACCGGUCCGGACCCUCUCUGCGUAUCAUGCAGAGAGGACCUACGGGGUCGGGAUCCUGAAGCUCGGGUCCGGACCCUCUCUGUGUAUCAUGCAGAGAGGGUCUACGGGGUCCGGAUCGUGAAGCACCGGUCCGGACCCUCUCUGCGUAUCAUGCAGAGAGGACCUACGGGGUCGGGAUCCUGAAGCUCGGGUCCGGACCCUCUCUGUGUAUCAUGCAGAGAGGGUCUACGGGGUCCGGAUCGUGAAGCACCGGUCCGGACCCUCUCUGCGUAUCAUGCAGAGAGGACCUACGGGGUCGGGAUCCUGAAGCUCGGGUCCGGACCCUCUCUGUGUAUCAUGCAGAGAGUGUCUACGGGGUCCGGAUCGUGAAGCACCGGUCCGGACCCUCUCUGCGUAUCAUGCAGAGAGGACCUACGGGGUCGGGAUCCUGAAGCUCAGGUCCGGACCCUCUCUGCGUAUCAUGCAGAGAGGACCUAUCGGAUCCUCCUUAGGGUCCGGAUCCCUAACAUUGAAAAACUCAGAAUUUUCCAAUUUAUCUGUUUACAACCAAUCCUAAGUCUUCUAAACACUUUUUCUCAAGAAUAAUUUUACCACAAAUUAUUAACCUACAUACCUUAGUAAACGAGCAUCACCAAUCCUAAGUCUUCUAUAUAGUAGGCUUUGGUUGUGCAGCUAUAGCAUAAAAAUGAAACAGUUAUUCAGUUGUGCGGUUAUAGCUUAAAAUGGAACAGUUAUACCACACCCCGGAACAUCUGUAGGGCUAAAGAGUACAUCCAUAUAGCUGU